UCAAAAUGGAGGACGUUCAAGAAAAAUGGAGGAUGUGACCAAACAGAAACUCAAAAUGCUCACAUAAAUAUCAAUUCAUGCUUCUUCUUCGUGCUCAAAAUGGAGGUUGUUUAAGAAAAAGGUUAUGGGAACAGAGAAGUGUGCUUCCUGCAUGGCUGGGGUGUUAGCACACCGUGGACAUCCUGUACUGUACAAGGUUCCCAGGAGAAAAGGAGCAAAGACCAGAGACAUGGAUGAUCCAGGAAACAUAUCCAGGGGUAGCCAUCAUCUUAUGCAGUCUUCUCCUACCCAGAUAUUUGGAACUACAUGUGCAUUGCAGAUGUUGUGGACUACAGCAACCCUAACCAUUGGAAAUGAGAACUGCAGUCAAAAAUACCUAGAGGAAUUUGCAUUG